UUUGGCUUGUAUUAUUCAAUCACUUUUCUAGUCUAAACUUCCAAAGUCUUCCACAUUCCUCUAAAAUUCAACAUUCACAGGAUCUUCAUACUUCAUUCAGAGCAUCAACAUACUACCUGUUGCAGACUGCUUGAGUGAAGUCUUCCUAUGGCUAUGACUUAAGCCAACCAAGAGGCCUAAAGCAAGAGGAACAACAGACAAGAGGAGGAACCUCUAUCACUACGAGCCAAAAUAAGGAACUCCCAUGACAUUCUGACUUCUCAUUCUGAGUCUCAAGCAUAAGUCUGCAGGGUGUUUGAGGAUGCUAGUUGAUGUCCAUGACCUGGACCACCAGACCACUGGUCAGUGGGCUGCCUUGUGGGACUUUCCAAUGAUUUCCAGUGAGACAAAGAAGUGGAAGAGGACAGUCUGCAUGGGAGCUCCUACAACACCACUGCUCUUUCCUGGCUGUUCAUCAUUGCUCUAUUUAUUAAUGCAUAGAUGCUUACAAAUAUCAAUGCAUUUUUUGGCAUGCUAGACAGAGGAGGUUGUUUGAGAGGAGUAUAUGUGUAUGGGGUGCAUAUAUAUGGAGGUGUAAAGGCCAGAGGUCAAACUGAACUUCUAUUCCUCUGGUGCUGUAUGCCUUGUUUCUUGAAGGUGGGUUUCUCACUGGCCUAUGGCUUCCAAAUUAGGCUGUGUGGGCCAGCCAGUAAGUGUGAUGUCUACCUGUGUCCACCUCCUCAGCACUGGGACAGUAAGUGAAGGCCACGAAGUCCAGCUUUUACAUGGGUUCUGAGAUCUUAUGUUUGCACAGCCAACUCUCUACCAACUGAGUUAACCCUUGAAACCCAAAAGCAUUGUUUUUAAAGGUCUUUGCAAAGUAUCUGUUUUUUGUUCCAUUUUCCUUUCUAGCCAAUUUUUAAAAUAAUUUUUAUUCACUUUACAUUCCAUUCAAAGCCCCCUCCCUCCUCUCAGAGCACAUCCAAUUUUAAGUUGGUCUGAGGCCCUCAAAGUCUAUAAUGUCAAUGCAAGAAAACAGAAAAAUAAAACCCCAACAGCAAUUAGUUGGUGGGAAAAACUAGA